UAGCAAUACUGUGGGUGGCGAGUGGCGGACGGGUGAGGAAUGCGUCGGAAUCUGCCUUUUUGUGGGGGAUAACGUAGGGAAACUUACGCUAAUACCGCAUACGACCUACGGGUGAAAGUGGGGGACCUUCGGGCCUCACGCAGAAAGAUGAGCCGACGCCGGAUUAGCUAGUUGGCGGGGUAAAGGCCCACCAAGGCGACGAUCCGUAGCUGGUCUGAGAGGAUGAUCAGCCACACUGGGACUGAGACACGGCCCAGACUCCUACGGGAGGCAGCAGUGGGGAAUAUUGGACAAUGGGCGCAAGCCUGAUCCAGCCAUGCCGCGUGUGUGAAGAAGGCCUUCGGGUUGUAAAGCACUUUUGUCCGGAAAGAAAAGCUUCGGGUUAAUAACCUGGAGUCAUGACGGUACCGGAAGAAUAAGCACCGGCUAACUUCGUGCCAGCAGCCGCGGUAAUACGAAGGGUGCAAGCGUUACUCGGAAUUACUGGGCGUAAAGCGUGCGUAGGUGGUUUGUUAAGUCUGAUGUGAAAGCCCUGGGCUCAACCUGGGAACGGCAUUGGAUACUGGCUUACUAGAGUGCGGUAG
rnacentral:rRNA from 1 species